UGACGUCAUGCGUGGUUGGAGAUACAGUCGGGGUGUGACGUCAGCACUUUGAGAGGCGGGGCUUAACGCGGAAGUGUUCACUCUGUAAACAGCUGUGGGCUCAGCUGGGGAUCCGGAGCGACCUUCCCUGGGGACCCCUGCAGCCUGGGUCUCUGGGGGUAACAGCGCCCCUAUCAGGGUGGGUCGGAGGCAGGAUGGUGUGUGAGUUUUUUCUCCUCUCCUCCAUCUGGUUCGUGGUGGUCAUAUUCUGGAUGGAGACGAUCAGUAUGUGGCUGUUCCUUUGCCAUCUGUUCCAGGACAGAGCCGCGUACCAGUGGGGAGACAGGAUUUAUGUCACCCAUCCCGACCAGAUAAUGUACAUAAUUAUAAGAGUGGAUUCGUUGAGGUAACACAACAGCAAUUUCCCCGGAGAUCACAGAAGAUUGGGGAAUGUUGGACAUUUAACUCAUAAUAAAAAAAGGGAAAAGAUGCAAUUUUAAUUAUCAGUAUUUUUGUAGAUUUUGCUUUUAUAAUGACUGUAAAUAGCCGUAAUCCAGGAGGUCUCAGUAUAAGCAGAGGGGCAGGGGAUUCUCGUUCUGUGCUUGGCAAUGGGCAGACUGAAGUUCCGUUCCUUUCUCUUGGACUCUCCGCCAUGACAUUAAUCUGGGAUUUGAUGGAGCUCCCGUGUACACAGCGGCCUGACGGUUUUUGCAGAGGGAGCGGAUCUCCUGGAAGUCGGUCCUCCUAUUUUUGUUACACGAAAUGUGCUUUGCACUAAUGAAUUCAAUGAUCUUUUAGGAAUCUCGAUUUGUGUGUUUUGUUUUGUCUAUUUUGAAAAUAAAUCUUAUUUUAAAUUAAA